AGGAGAUGGAAUACAGGGUUGAGUUGUUCAACAAGUAAGUUUUCUGCAUUGUAUUUUAGUUGAUGUCACAAACGAGUAAUGGGGUUUUUACAAGGUAGUAUCUGAAUCCAGUUUCUUUUCUAUCUCAGCUCCAAUAGUUUGAGCAAUUAGUUCAGGUGCUUCUUUGCCAUGCAUAUUGUCUUCCAUUCAUUCAUGCUUUUCACACCUGCUUUCUUCUAUUUCCAUUAUCUCUAAUACUUUAUUUGGUCAGCAUAUCUGAUCAUUGUACAAGACAACAUGGUUCAAUAAUAAUUUCUGCACCUACACAUCUAGCUGGUGCCAAUAAUCUCUCCAAUUUUGUUAUUCAUCAUGCAUGCAUCAAUUGGCUCUUCUUUGCCUAUUUGGGCGAGUUGUUUUUUAUUUUUUAUGUUUUGCUUUAUUUUUUAUUCUUGAAUUUGUUUUUAACUAUUUUAGUUCUUCAUAUUUUUGAUUCAGAUCCUUUUGAGUUUGGUUAUUUGCAUAUGCAUAUGGUGUAUCUUUGAGCCGAUAAUGAAUUAAACAGUUGAUGCAUAUGGCACACAACCCUCAAACUACAGAAUGCCUGUUUGAAAUUGCUUUAUUGAUUGACGAAAUGCUUAUGGCUAAUUUUUGUUAGCCUCAACCCUUAUAUUGGUUUAAGUGGAAUGUGAUGAUAAACUUUUUUUAAUUCCAUUAUUUCUAUUUCUAAUACAAGAGAUUGAGUUAUGUCUAAUUCUAAUACAAGAGAUUGAAUUAUGUCUAAAUGAACUUUUUCAAAUUCCAUUAUGCCUAACUCAUAUCUACUAUUUUAAUAGAAGAGGCUGUAAAAACAAGCUUUUUUUUUUCUUUCUAAAAUGAUGACAGUACAUUCAGUACUUACUGAUGUGCAUUCUUCAUAUGGUAAUCUGGCAUUUUGAAAUUGUAGCAUUCAUGAAUUUUGUGGAAAAAUACUCUUGCUUCACAGAUCACUAGUUUCACCAAUUCCAUAAUAGAGAUGGAGUGCAAGAAGACCUGUGUUUUGUUGGUUCUAAAGUGGUGGGUUUUGGAUCAUUUUCAUUGUAGAUUUUCAUCAAGGUUCCAUUCUGGUACUAUGGUCUCCACUCUUGACUCAACGAACAAAGAGCAAGUUUGUUGUGGUCCCUGAGACCCUUCUCAAGUAAAUUCCAGCUGAGGAGAUACCAAUUCAGUAUGGUGGUUUCAAGAGAGAGAUUGACACCAAGUUCUUCUUCGCUGAAGAUGGUUAUGUUUUUGAGCAACUCUCAAGGCAGUAUCAAAGCAAACCAUAGAAAUUGAUGCAGCUCAGGCUGUCAAAACAAUUUCGUCAAGUCCAUCUAUUACUUUCUAUUUUGAUAUUUAUGGAGAUAUGCACAAGAGUACUCGCAGCAGCCCCCUAUUCAGGAACUAAUUGGAAGAGAUCUUCAUGAUAUAUAAUGAAUGGAAAUUCAGACAUAUUUCGAGGAGGCUUGCAACAACAGUAGAGUAAUUGGUACAUGAAGUAGAUCAACGAAGAUCCCUG